rnacentral:misc_RNA from 2 species
AGCAGCCGCGGUAAUUCCAGCUCCAAUAGCGUAUAUUAAAGUUGUUGCAGUUAAAAAGCUCGUAGUUGAACUUCAGGCCUGGCUGGACGGUCCGCCCUCUGGGUGAGCACUGUCUGUGGUCGGGUCCUACCUUCUGGCGAAGCGGCAUGGCCUUAACCGGCCGUGGCGGGGAACCAGGACUUUUACUGUGAAAAAUUAGAGUGUUCAAAGCAGGCACGCGCUUGAAUACAUUAGCAUGGAAUAAUGGAAUAGGACAAUGGUUCUAUUUGUUGGUUUCUAGGACCGUUGUAAUGAUUAAUAGGGAUAGUUGGGGGCAUUAGUAUUCAAUUGUCAGAGGUGAAAUUCUUGGAUUUAUUGAAGACUAACUACUGCGAAAGCAUUUGCCAAGGAUGUUUUCAUUAAUCAAGAACGAAAGUUAGGGGAUCGAAGACGAUCAGAUACCGUCGUAGUCUUAACCAUAAACUAUGCCGACUAGGAAUCGGGCGAUGUUGACAAAAUGACGCGCUCGGCACCU